GUUCCGGUAGCUCAGGGGUAGAGCGGCAGAUUGCAAAUUGAUCAUCUGCAGGUCGUGCGUUCGAAUCGCGCCCGGAACU